AUCACCUCAAAUAACGUUUCGGCA
rnacentral:siRNA from 1 species